UACGUAGGGUGCGAGCGUUUGUCCGGAAUUAUUGGGCGUAAAGAGCUCGUAGGCGGUCUGUCGCGUCUGCUGUGAAAACUCAGGGCUUAACCCUGAGCUUGCAGUGGGUACGGGCAGACUAGAGUGCGGUAGGGGAGACUGGAAUUCCUGGUGUAGCGGUGAAAUGCGCAGAUAUCAGGAGGAACACCGGUGGCGAAGGCGGGGUCUCUGGGGCCGUAACUGACGCUGAGGAGCGAAAGCAUGGGGAGCGAACAGG
rnacentral:rRNA from 1 species